rnacentral:rRNA from 1 species
GACGAACGCUGGCGGCGUGCCUAAUACAUGCAAGUAGAACGCAGUUGCGAACGGGUGAGUAACGCGUAGGUAACUGCUUCUUAGCGGGGGAUAAUUAUUGGACACUAUAGCUAAUACCGCAUACUGUGAGAUGUACUUGCGUUGUAUUAGCUUGUUGGUGAGGUAAAGGGUCACCAAGGCGAGGAUACAUAGCCGACUUGAGAGGUUGAUCGGCCACACUGGGACGAAGACACGGCCCAGACUCCUACGGGAGGCCGCAGUAGGGAAUCUUCGGAAAUGGACGGAAGUCUGACCGAGCAACGCCGCGGUAGUGAAGAAGGUUUUCGGAUCGUAAAGCUCUGUUGUUCGAGAAGCGUUAACUAACCAGAAAGGGACGGCUAACUACGUGCCAGCAGCCGCGGUAAUAC